GACAUACUACCUCCGUCCGGAAAUAUUUGUCCAAAAAAUAAAUGUAUCUAGACUUAUUUUAAUUGUAGAUACAUCAAUUAUAUGUAUUUUUAGGACAAGUAAUUCCGGACGAAGGGAGUAGUAA
rfam:Hordeum vulgare subsp. vulgare, WGS project CAJW01000000 data, contig: morex_contig_66496